UAUAGAGCUAUGUUACAUUGAAUGGCAAAAGUGACUUUGUAGAGGUGUCGUUUAUCCGGAUGCUGCAUGAUUAAGACCACCAUACUCUUAUCAAGCAUACAGGUGUUAAUGUCUAUUUUAAAGAGGAGAGAACUCAAGAAGUUCUGUAGAAACUGCUUUCUUCAUCAUAUCUCAAAGGAUUUGCUGAGGAUUUCAGAGGUGCCACGAGUUGAGAGAAGACUUCGGACAUUUCACUUAAUGCUGAAAAUUCACUCUACUGCCACUACUCAGGACUUCUGAUGGGCAUGAAAAUCCAAGCCUGCUUUAUGAUAUUAACCUCUGAAUUUCAUAAACCGCUUAAAACUUUAGAAUGUCCAGAAAACACUGGUAGAAUACGGACACAUGAGACAAGGCCAGAAAGGAAGUCAAUAAAAUGUGAUUACUAAGCAAAUUACCACCAGAGAAGCAGAAGGAAAUCCCUCUUCAAUAUUUUGAGAGACAGUAAAGAACAUUCCCUGGAGUUAGGACAAAUGAAGAGCAAGAAGUUUCAUCUUGCUCUGUCAUCCAGGCUGGAGUGCAGGGGCACCAUCUCGGCUCACUGAAACCUCCACUUCCCGGGUUCAAGCGAUUCUCCUGCCUCAGCCUCCUGAGUAACUGGGGUUACAGAGUGAAUAGACAACCUACAGAAUGGGAGAAAAUACUUGCAAGCUAUGUAUCCAACAAAGGACUAAUAUCGAGAAUUUACAAGGAACUCAAACAAAACUCAACAAGAGUAAAACAACCCCAAUAAAAAGGAAAGUGAACACAUUUGGAAAUAUUGGCUCAGCAUUGCAGCUAUACCCUUUAGACAGGAAACACACUUUCCAGUUCUCCUUGACAGAGAGGCUGAAGCUGCUUAUGUGUCUGGAAUUGGUGGGUUCUUGGUCUCACUGACUUCAAGAAUGAAGCCACGGACCCUCGCGUGAAGCAAUACAGGCAUUCAUGUCUGGACAAAAGGAAUAAGUGGACUACAUGCAGAGGCAGAGUGAGGCUGGAAAAUACAUCCUGCCAUGGGUAUACAACCCAAGCUAUCUAUGUAGAUUUUUUUUGUUUUUUUGAGACGGAGUCUCGCUCUGUUGCCAGGCUGGAGUGCAGUGGCGGGGUCUCGGCUCACUGCAACCUCCACCUCCUGGGUUCAAGCGAUUCUCCUGCCUCAGCCUCCCAAGUAGCUGGGAUUACAGGCAUGUGCCACCAUGCCUGGCUAAUUUUUGUAUUUUCAGUAGAGAGGGGGUUUCACCAUGGUAGCCAGGCUGGUCUUGCACUCCUGACCUCGUGAUCCACCCGCCUCGGCCUCCCAAAGUGCUGGGAUUGCAGGCAUGAGCCACCACACCUGGCCUAUGUAGAUUUUUUUGUUGCCUUUUGAUUUUUUUUUUUUUUGCUUAUUCUGAUUCUAAUUGUACAAAUCAAUAAUAAAAAUGUUAAAAACAGACUUAAAAUAUUCAUGACUAUGCAAAUGAUUCAAAUAUAGUUAUUUAAAGUUUCUUUCUUUUUUAAAUUGGGACAUGGUCUUGCUCUUCAACCCAAGGCUGGGUGGCAUAGGUGAAAGAGCAAGACCAAGGCAUGACCAAGGCUCACUGCAGCCUUGACCUCCUGAUCUCGUUAUCCUCCCACUUCAGCCUCCCAAGUAGCUGGGUAUAGGCAUGCACCACAGUCCCCAGCUAAUAUUUUAAUUUUUUGUGUGUGGAGACAUGGUCUUGCCCUGUUGCCCAGGCUGGUCUUGAAUUCCUGAGUUCAAGUGAUCCUUGCUUCUCAGGCUCCCUAAGUGCUAAGAUUACGGGUGUGGGUCCCCAGCCAAAACAAUCUUCCUAGGGAAGCCCUCACAUUUUCAAGGGUUUUACCUUUAGUACCUCCAUAAAUUCGUAUCAAGCAACAAAAUGUACUGUCAAGGAACAAAAAAUAUAAAGGGACCUUAAAUGCAUAUUUCUAAGACCAAGAAGUCAGUCUGAAAUGGCUACAUACUAUAUAAUCCUAUAUGACUCCUAUAUGAAAGAUAUGACAUUCUGGAAAAGGCAGAACAAUAGAGUAAAAAGAUCAAUGGUUGCUUGGGUUUGGUAUGCAUGUGUGUUAGAGGGCAGGGUGGCUGGUGAGAGGAAUACAUAGGUGAAGCACAAGUGAUUUUUAUGGCACUGCAACUGUUCUGCAUGAUACCAUAAUAAUAAUAAAUGACAUUUUUCAUUUGUCAAAACACAUAGAAUGUACAAGAGAAAGAGUAGAACUUAAUGUAAAUUAUGAACUGUAGUUACUAUUGAUAUGUAAAUAUUGGUGUUCUAAUUGUAUCAAAUGCACCACACCAGUGAAAGACAUUAGUAAUAGGAGAAAUGUGUACGAGUUUGGGAGGUUAUAUGGCAAUUUCUGUACUAUCUGCUCUUGUUUUUAUUGUAAUUUUAAAAUUGUGCUAAAAUAAAGUUUAUUAGUUUAAUUUUCAAGAGAUUAAGAAUGUAUGUUUAAAUGUAAUAAUAUAUAUGCAGAGCUUUAUGUCUAUCCAUAUACUUCAAGCCAAAUCUACUUUUGGUGAGUUCGUCUGUUUAUAAAACACACAGAAAUAGGAAGAAAAAUAAUUGACAAAUAUUUACUAUGAAAUAACUUUAUAAGCAGUAAAUUGAAAGCACAUACAUAUAUUUUAAAAAGGCAUUUAUAUACUUAAGCAAAUUAUUUUCCAAAUAUAGAAUAUUAGCCAGCCAACAAAUAAUGUUUAAGAAAGUUUGUAAUUUUCUGAGACAAUACGGAUGAUAAAAUAUUAAGUAAAGAACAACUUUGUUGUAAUGUGAUAUAUAACAUGACAUAAAUAAAAAGAAAAAAUCUAGAUUAAUGUGUAGUCAAUAAGAAUUGCCAUGAAACAUUGUCAAACUGAUAUUUGAAAUUUAUUGUUUUAAAGCCCCUUAUAACUAAUAUUCUGUUUUUCCAUAUAAUCCUAUUAAUGUAUAAAUAAAAUCUUCUAUUUACCAAUUGGAUAUUAAAUCAAAAUAAUGUAAAUUAACAUCUACAAAUCAUAACUUUUCUUAAUGUUUAUUCUUUGAGAAUACAUAGUAGUUGCACAUAUUUAAGGCAUACAUGUGAUAUUUUGAUAUGUGUGUAUCACGUGUAAUGAUCAAAUCAGAGUAAUUGGGAUAUCCAUCACCUGAAACAUUUAUCAUAGCUUUAAAGGGCCAAAGCCAGGAUUUAACUCUCUUAGAUUCCAAAGUCCACGUUCUUAGAAAUAUUAAUUAAAAUAAUGACAAUGUUUGCCUCUGGGUUAUGCUAUUAUGAGAAAUUUAAUAUUUUUAAAGCAGAAAUUGAAAUUUUUGUAAUAGGAAGAUAUUUAAUAAAUAUGGAAAUGUAUAACUGAUUUUUUCUCCUAUGUCAUUAUUGUUGAAAGAAAAUCUUCAUAUCUUACGUAAAUAUAUUCUAGAUCAUCUGACAGAUUUUAUAAUUUCUCAUUAUAAAUUAAGAUUUUUUUUUAUUAUCUUCGGUGGUGAAAAAUACGCUCGCCAAACUGACAGGAAAAUGUAAUGUAAUGCUAAUUGCUUAAUUGAUUAUUACUAGGAGUCCACAAUUUUCAGUGCUUUUCUUUCUAUUUCUGUGUAUUUUAUAAAGAGACAAAUUCACCAAAAAUCAGUUUGGCUUGAAGUAUAUGGACACACAUAAAGCUCUGCACAUGUAUUAUUACAUUUAAACAUACAUUCUUAAUCUGUUGGAAAUUAAACUAAUAAACUUUAUUUGAGCACAAUUUUAAAUAUGAAA
ensembl:lncRNA LINC01492 long intergenic non-protein coding RNA 1492